rnacentral:rRNA from 1 species
UACGUAGGGGGGCAAGCGUUGUCCGGAUUUAUUGGGCGUAAAGAGCGUGUAGGCGGCUUGACAGGUCUGCUGUGAAAACUCGAGGCUCAAACCUCGAGAUGUCGGCGGAAACCGUCUGGCUAGAGUCCGGAAGAGGAGAGUGGAAUUCCUGGUGUAGCGGUGGAAAUGCCGCAGAUAUCGAGGAAAGAACACCUAUGGCGAAG